rnacentral:rRNA from 1 species
UACGGGGGAUGCAAGCGUUAUCCGGAAUUAUUGGGCGUAAAGGGUCCUGAGGUGGCUAGCCAAGUCUAUUGUGAAAUAUCAGGGCUUAACCCUGAACAUGCGGUGGAAACUAGAAAGCUUGAGUACAGUAGGGGCGGAGGGAAUUUCCGGUGGAGCGGUGAAAUGCAUAGAUAUCGGGAAGAACACCAACGGCGAAAGCACUCCGCUGGGCUGAUACUGACACUGACAGACGAAAGCUAGGGUAUCGAAAGGG